rnacentral:rRNA from 1 species
UCUUGGUCAAUUAGAGGAAGUAAAAGUCGUAACAAGGUCUCCGUUGGUGAACCAGCGGAGGGAUCAUUACCGAGUUAUCCAACUCCCAACCCCUGUGAAUUAUACCUUUAAUUGUUGCUUCGGCGGGACUUCGCGCCCGCCGGGGACCCAAACCUUCUGAAUUUUUUAAUAAGUAUCUUCUGAGUGGUUAAAAAAAUGAAUCAAAACUUUCAACAACGGAUCUCUUGGUUCUGGCAUCGAUGAAGAACGCAGCGAAAUGCGAUAAGUAAUGUGAAUUGCAGAAUUCAGUGAAUCAUCGAAUCUUUGAACGCACAUUGCGCCCGUCAGUAUUCUGGCGGGCAUGCCUGUUCGAGCGUCAUUACGCCCCUCAAGUCCCCUGUGGACUUGGUGUUGGGGAUCGGCGAGGCUGGUUUUCCAGCACAGCCGUCCCUUAAAUUAAUUGGCGGUCUCGCCGUGGCCCUCCUCUGCGCAGUAGUGAAACACUCGCAACAGGAGCCCGGCGCGGUCCACUGCCGUAAAACCCCCCAACUUUUUAUAGUUGACCUCGAAUCAGGUAGGACUACCCGCUGAACUUAAGCAUAUCAAUAGGCCGGAGGA